ensembl:lncRNA
AUGAUGUUUUGGGUUUUUUUGGAUUCAGGACUGGGAAUUUGCUGUGCUAAAGACACACAUUGCCAUGAGCAUCUCUGUCUCCAGCCUCUGCUGAACUUUUCACUUACAUCAGAGGGCCAUGGAGUCCACAUUCAUCCGCCUUCUAACCAAGGCUUACAGCACCUCACGCUUUUGAGCAAGACAACUUGCCAUCGGAGCUGGAGCUCCUUGGGAACCCAGUCCCCUUUCGUGGGGAAGGCAGRCCUGCACCUGCCGCUUGUACUCUGCGGCCCAGGGAGAAGCAGCCUCUGCGUCCAUUUAGACUCAAACUCUUCCCUCUCUUGCCAGACAAACCAAGGCCAAGUACCAAGCCAGCAGCCUAAGCAAAUCCUAUCGGAUCGCACAGCUGGGAGGUUCUUGUCUUGUCUGCACAGGAAAGUCUGCAACAAUUGCAAGAAACACUUUGCUUCUCAGCCAACAUCCUGCCAUCUCCAUUUACCUGCCACUGCUCAUGAAUCCCUUGGAAUUUUGCAUUGCAAAAGCUGGCUCCAAGGAAAACAUUCCCUUGUGCUCCCCAGUUUCCACAAUAGUGUGAGUUUGUGUUUCACAAAAAGCAGUUGGGAUAACAAUUAUGAUGCUGUGAGCAACUCCUGAGGGUAAAAAUGUCAGUUUUGCUGCAUACUCCGCUGUUGCAGCUACCAGCACUGCUGUAUUGCUCCCAUACAAAUACACACCACUUAAUACACCAUACAGAUUUCACCACUUAAUAUCYAAACCUAUGAAAUAACGCCAGACUCUGAGCCCACGGCAGAGUGCCAUGGACCAAACAGCAAAAAGGAGGGAGGGCUGCGGCUCACAACCAAACUGUCCUGUACCCACACUCACACACUGAAGCUGAAUAGAAGACAGAGGAAAGAGGGACGAAUAAGUCUGAUAUAAGAUGGAGGUAUCAGACUUACAUGAGAGAAGGGCAACUGGUGAAAUCAUUCUCCUGGAUGAAGUUGAUUUCAAAGACCUGUGAAUACUUCUUGUUGAUGGGCUGUAGCACCAGGUCUUGAAGUCUGACCAGAGGAGUGGAAGGAGCUGCUCAUAUUGCUGAUUGAAGCCUUUUGAAUUAGAACUGAGAUCUGGUGCUUCUGGAAGCGUGAGAGUCACCACAGGGAAACACAAGCCUUCGCUCAAAUGCCAUGCAAGGAAAAAAAAAAAAAACAACUGACAGGCCAGUGCUGGAACAGGCCAGGCCCUAAGCACCUGGUAACACCAUCUCACCUGAACAAAUAUCCCUGCRUAGGACACAGAUGCCACACUCUCAUUUGCCUCCCUCCCAGCCUGCACACAUCCAUGGAACAAACCCAGCUUAAACAAGCUUCCUGUGCACAUGCAAGACAGCAGGUCACAGAUGGAUAAAAAUCAGCAAGAGGAGAAUAGACAAUGAGACAAAGUCAAACAGAUUCUCUCUUAUUUUUGUUCACAGUUUCUGUCCCCCAAUCUUCCACUAGUGUGCUCCAAGAUGAAACCGAGACCUGGUUCUGAGGACACUCUGCUCCAGGGCGGCAGUGUGUAUAAGCCUGUGCUGUGUCUGGCUCUCUGCACACCGCUUCCAACACUGUCCCAGAAGGCCAAGCCACCAAGCACCACUAUCUUACCGUCCUACAGCCCAGUACAUGUAACAUAACUUUAACACAUUACUAUGAAAACACUACUCUGGUGGGCUGUGAUGCAGAUCUUACAGUAUUGCAGAUACUUUGAACUGGAAAAAAAAAAAAAAAAAAAACCUAAACACAAAACAUUAAUAAUGAUACCUUAGAUCUCAUAAAAGACUCAAACCAAUCAUUAUGCAGUUUUGUCAAUCUGUAGAAGGCAGAGGGAGCCCUGAGCAAUACAAGCAGCCAUCCUUACCACUUAAAUGGAGGCCAGGGAUCAAUUCCUCAGACGUUUGUUGUUAGCAACGUAAAUACUACUGGUCAACAAGUUUUCUAACAAGGUCAGUUAUGUUGCUAAGCUAGUCUUUUUGGAAUAAAAACUGAACCUCUGGGGCUUUGUGGUCA